rnacentral:rRNA from 1 species
GGGACCUCUGUUGGUGAUGGGCUUUACGCCUGGAGCUGGUGGGGGUCGCAGUGGCCAGGGGGAAGCGACUGUUUACUAAAAACACAGGUCCGUGCGAAGUCGUAAGACGAUGUAUACGGACUGACGCCUGCCCGGUGCCGGAACGUUAAGGGGACCGCUUAGCCGACGUGAGUUGGCGAAGGUGAGAACUUAAGCGCCGGUAAACGGCGGUGGUAACUAUAACCAUCCUAAGGUAGCGAAAUUCCUUGUCGGGUAAGUUCCGACCUGCACGAAUGGCGUAACGACUUCCCCGCUGUCUCAACCGCAGACCCGGCGAAAUUGCACUACGAGUAAAGAUGCUCGUUUCGCGCAGCAGGACGGAAAGACCCCGGGACCUUCACUACAGCUUGACAUUGGCGUUUGGAACGUCUUGUGUAGGAUAGGUGGGAGACUGGGAAGCUGUCACGCUAGUGAUGGUGGAGUCAUUGGUGAAAUACCACUCUGGUCGUUUUGAACGUCUAACUCUGGUCCGUGAUCCGGAUCGGGGACAGUGUCUGGUGGGUAGUUUAACUGGGGCGGUUGCCUCCUAAAGAGUAACGGAGGCGCCCAAAGGUUCCCUCAGCCUGGUUGGCAAUCAGGUGUUGAGUGUAAGUGCACAAGGGAGCUUGACUGUGAGACUGACAGGUCGAGCAGGAGCGAAAGCUGGGACUAGUGAUCCGGCAUCGGCGUGUGGAAGCGGUGUCGCUCAACGGCUAAAAGGUACCCCGGGGAUAACAGGCUGAUCUUCCCCAAGAGUCCAUAUCGACGGGAUGGUUUGGCACCUCGAUGUCGGCUCGUCGCAUCCUGGGGCUGGAGUAGGUCCCAAGGGUUGGGCUGUUCGCCCAUUAAAGCGGUACGCGAGCUGGGUUUAGAACGUCGCGAGACAGUUCGGUCCCUAUCCGCUGCGCGCGCAGGAGACUUGAAGGGGGCUGUCCCUAGUACGAGAGGACCGGGACGGACGAACCUCUGGUGUGCCAGUUGUACCGCCAGGUGCACGGCUGGUUGGCUACGUUCGGAAGGGAUAACCGCUGAAAGCAUCUAAGCGGGAAGCUCGCCUUGAGAUGAGGUCUCCCACCACGAGAGUGGGUAAGGCUCCCGGUAGACGACCGGGUUGAUAGGCCGGAGGUGGAAGCACGGUAACGUGUGGAGCUGACCGGUACUAAUAGGCCGAGGACUUGAGC